UUUUCAUUGGUCGAAUCGACAAAGAAGGCGGGCAUAAGAAAAUGUCAGACCAUAUUUGGAACAUAUGCCGUCCUGUCAUUGGUGUGAGUCGUAAAUGAAGGCGUCAACAAGUGAAGGUUGCAACAAAUGGGAUAUUUUUUUCUUGUAGUAUUGAAAUUGAUUUGUUGACUGCUUCUUCGAAAUUUUUAUUCUAACAGAACACAAACAUAUGAUCUAUUUUGCAGUUUGUAUUCAAUCGAAAUAUAUGUUGACGAUUAACUUGUAUCUGACGUGUGAAAGGGUCCGUCCAUACAUUUGGAAGAAAAGUAACCGUUAUUACUGAACAGAAGUAGAACGCUAUGUUAAAGGUGCUCAAAUCAAAGCAAACAGGGGCAUUUUGUUGCAGAAAUCUUUAGUAUAAAGCUCACCAAAUUACACUCAAUACUAUUAACAUAAUUCCAAAACAUAAGGUGUCAUGCCUAUCCAAGCAAUAGGCUACGUGUUAACUAAAUCUUUGAGUUAAACUAAUCUUUGAUCCACAUCCAUCACUUAACCACACGUAAUACGGUGAAUUUAACGCUUUAUGUCCUUUCGAUUAGGUCUCGCUGUCGGUGUUUAAUAAGAACAUUUAUAGAGCUACUUUUUACAAGUCCCCAUCAGUUUAGUCUAUGGCGCCCUCUAAAGGCCAUCUAAAUACAAGCAUUUGUAUUAGACAAGCGACACUACUGUAUUGAUUCCAGUCGGGAAAUUCAAGUAAAUUAUAAUUCACCUUAAUUAACUUUGUUGAUUGGUAAUAACCGGCCUACUUCAUGGUAAUUAGUUGCACUGCUGCGAGCAGGGCAAGCAAUUCCCUUGCAUACUUCUUAUUACUGACAAACCCGCAAGCAAGGCAAGUAGGCCUACUGUUCUUUCUCACACUUCUUCUUCCCUUUCCGGUGUUUCACCGGUCUCUAUCUGCUCGCACAAACAAUGACAUAGAAAGUCAAAAAAAUAGGAAGUAUAGUGAAAUAGUGUGCUAAGAAUUUUCUAAGCAAAAAAUGGAAACCAAGUAAUGUGUAUAAACUGCAUCUACUCCCUCAAUAUUUACACAAAAUACACAUAUUGUACAUCAAAAUGAUAAACUUGAUGAGCUAAUUAGGCAAUACUUUUUAGGAUAUUAAACUUUUGAAUUUUCCAAUGCACACAUCGCACACAACCUUCAACGGGACGUCUGUGUUAACAACAGAGACAAGCUGAGCUCACAAAGUGGUCGGAAAUAAACUGCUGGUAGCAUUGAACUAGUUCAUACAUUCACAAACAUACGUACACAUACGGGAACAUAAUGUACACAUAGAUAAACACAGAUAUAUAGACACUCAUAAGCAUGUAAUGGAAUAUAAGUACAAUUUCUUCAGGAAUUGUAGGUUUUCCAGUUUACAUUUCCCUCUUAUCUUCUCUCAUACGAAAAUUCAGCAAUUCAUUCAGCAAUUAUUGAUCCAAUUUAUUUUCUGAAGAUUACUAUUAAUAUACUAAACUUGAAUACAACCUUAAUUGCUACUGCCGGUUGCUGUUGGCUCUGUUUUAUCAAGUACUCAUCUACAGAUGUUUUGUCAUUUUCCCCGUUUGUUGACGGUGGCGUAGUGUACGUCCACAUCACCAGCCUUCUCUCCACCUCUGGGAGAGGCCCUCACUGAGGAGCGUAUGUUGGACCUCCGCCCUGAUCUCCGUCCACACUGAGAUGCUGUGACACGGUCAGGAGUUGUGGAGUUAGACGCAUUAGAUUCAUAUUCCUUAGAUUUUGUAUUAUGCUCAAUUCAAUUACUUUCAUUAUGUCAUGCCAUAAUUACAUGGAUAAAUUGCUUCAGGACGUGUGUGUGUGUGUGUGUGUGUGUGUGUGUGUGUGUGUGUGUGUGUGUGUGUGUGUGUGUGUGUGUGUGUGUGUGUGUGUGUGUGUGUGUGUGUGUGUGUGUGUGUGUGUGUGUGUGUGUGUGUGUGUGUGUGUGUGUGUGUGUGUGUGUGUGUGUGUGUGUGAUGAAUGGAUGAGUAAGUCUCACCUGGUCAUGAAGGCCUCCUAUGACUGGUGGGGUGUCCCUGAUAGAGUUCAGAUCCUGCACCCAGUACAGGAACCCAGUUACUGAUCAGCUGGUCUCACCAGUGGUGGGGUCCCCAACAGCUUUUGGCCAAUGACCCCAUUUUUAGAUCAGAACCAUUUUGUGACCCCAACACAUAUUAUGCAUCUGCUAAUUGUUUAUCCCAAUGAACAUAGAUCAUGAUAUUGAAGACCCAGUGGAUUUUCAACCUUGCAGCAGUUUGCUUAUGGUUAUGUAUGUAUAUUUCUUAUUUUAUUAUAAAGAAUGUAUUAAAUAUAAGUCAUAAGGCAACCCCAUUUCCAUAUCAAGCGACCCCAAGUGGGGACCAACCCAGAGGCUGAAAACCCUGGUUUAUACAACCCAGUGGUUAUAACUGACGCUAUAUUGCAGUAAUGAUGCUGUUGUAAACUGUAUUGUUGUAAUAAUGCUACUUGUUAGCAUUAUUAUUUUGUUAUAAGCAGACUUUCUUUAUAACUAUGAUGAUAGAAUAGGCCUGCAAGAUAGUCUAGUGAUUAUGGUGACUUCAAGCCAAAAGCUUCUGGAUUUUAACCCCAAUGCCUAACUACAAGAUGCCAAUGUCCCUACCUACCCCUUAAUUAUCUUAGUCGCUUUGGAUUGAAACAGCUGUUUAAAUGACUGAAAAGGAUGUUCAUGUCCUUUUAGAAAUGAUUCAGAUUCUUCAUCUCAACACAGCCGGGCUGCAGAUGUGUUGUUUGGUCAGCGUUUCCAACGCUGCAGACCUUCAUACGUCACAGCGUAAGGGGAAGUCGUUUUUAUUUUUGUAUCUCGCGGUCAGCGACUGUCUGAUUAUUAACACUCAUGCCUGUGGCCACCUUGAGUUAUAAUGAUAUGUUGUGUAGCAUUAUAACCACGGAAUGCCCCUCUACUAAUAUUGAGCUAGAUGGCUUUAUUGCUAUUUCUUAUUCAACCAAAUAGUUUAAGUUUUGUCUUUUAAACUUACAAUGGUUGUGGUGUCCUUUGGCCUCUUGUUUCCUGUGAAGAGAAAGCCACAGUGAACGUUUCCAUGGUGAUAUAAACGGUGUGUAGACAGAUGUAGACGUGACAACAUGAUGGUGUCAAUGGUCUCCUCUCACCUCUCCUUCUGAGCCAGCGAAUGAGGAGAACCAGGCCCACGAUCAACAGGACCGCUGUACCCAGCGCUACCCCGACUCCUAUAUACAACCCCUGGGACGGUGGUUCUGUAGGAGAUCCACCUGAAACACAGGAAGAGGUUACCUUCCUCUUGUUCAUAGUCGGCAGGAUCUCAGAUGAAUUAAGAACCUACAUGGGUAGACCUAUGUUGGAAACCAUAGAAAAUGACUAAAGGUUAAAACCGACACACUAUAGAAACGAUUUGAUGAUAGAACACAGAAUAUUAUCCUAGUUUUAGAGGUUGACUCCCAGCCAAAAGGUUCUGGUUUUGAACCCCACUUUGACCCCACAUUUGUGAACACAUUUUACACUUUUGUGAAGAUGUUUAUGUUCAUGUCCUUUAGAAAAGAUGCAGAUUCGAUGUCUCACAGCCAUUUCAUUUGCAGACGUAUUGCUGUGGCCAUCGGUUCACAUGCGGCCAGACAUUCAUCUCUGUCACAGCGUAUGGGGAAGCAUUUUGUGAGCUGAUGAAGUUGUGAAAACGUUGUGUUAGA
ensembl:lncRNA